rnacentral:rRNA from 1 species
UUAUUCCUAUACACUCUAAUUAUUAAUAUAAAAUCAUCUUACAUCUUUAUUAGAAUUAUACCCCUUCCAUCCCAUAACAGUAAUGAUACCUCUAAUAUUUAACUAGUCAUUAUAAUCCCCUGUACCUUUUGCAUCAUGGUUUAACAAGUAAAUCAACUAUAGUUUUAUCCCCGAAACCUUAGUGAGCUAUUAUAAAUCUGUUUAGCACCCACUUAUUUAUGUAACAUAAUAACUUCAAGAAUUUAUAAUAGAGGCUACAUACCUUACGCACAAGGUGAUAGCUGGUUACUUUCAAUUUCUAUCUAAGUAGAAAAACUUUAUAAAAACGUAUCACCACUAUUUUAAAGUUUUAUAUAUAUUUAAGGACAAGCUUAAAUAUUAAAUCUUAUAGCUAAAAAAGAAUUAUCCUAUAAAAUAGGCCUAAUAAUAGCCACUUUUUAUUAUUCUACUAUAUGCCCCCCACUAUUACCUCUAAAAUUUAUAUAAUCUAUAUUAUACCCAGAAAGUAUAUUAUAAAAACUACACUAUUAAUUACUAUAAUGUUAAAAUAAGUACCACUGUAUUUCUACUCCUUUAAACAAAUAAUUUAAAAAAUUAUACACUUUUAUAUAUAAUAGUAAGGAACUCGGCAAAAGUUAACUCGACUGUUUAACAAAAACAUUGCCUUUAGCUUUUCUAUUAAAGGUUAAUCCUGCCCAGUGAAUUAUUUAACGGCCGCGGUAUUUUGACCGUGCAAAGGUAGCAUAAUCAUUUGCCUUUUAAUUGUAGGCUAGUAUGAAUGGAUAAACGAAGUUAACCCUGUCUCCCUAUUAUAAUAUGUAAAUUAGCCUCUAGGUGAAGAGACCUAGAUACAAAAAAAAGACAAGAAGACCCUAUUGAGUUUUAUAAUUAUGUAUACACUUCCUAUACAAAAUUAUUUGGUUGGGGCGACUAAGGAACACACCCAUCUUCCUUUUUAUAUAAGAUAUACACAUUUAUUUUUGACCCAUUUUUAUGAAUAUAGGAAUAAACUACCAUAGGGAUAACAGGCUAAUCUUUCUAGAGAGCUCAUAUUGAUAGAAAGGAUUGGCACCUCGAUGUUGGCUUAGGGUUACUAAUUGGUGCAGAAAUCAAUUACAGUUAGUUUGUUCAACUAUUAAUACCCUACAUGAGCUGAGUUCAGACCGGCGUAAGCCAGGUUAGUUUCUAUCUUUUUUUGUUAUAAUACAAUAUUUAACAGUACGAAAGGACCCUAAAUAUAAAAUAUUUUUUAAUUCUUAAAUAAUAAAACAUAUAAUUUAUCUACCCUCU